GCUGGGUGUGGUACACACACCUGUAAUCCCAGUGACUUGGGAGGCUGAGACAGGAGGAUUGCAAGCUUGAGGCCAACCUUGGCAAUUUAGCAAGGCCCUAAUUCAACAAGACCCUGUGUCAA
rnacentral:sRNA from 1 species